CAGCAGUAGCCGCGGUAAUACGGAGGGUGCAAGCGUUAAUCGGAAUUACUGGGCGUAAAGCGCACGCAGGCGGUUUGUUAAGUCAGAUGUGAAAUCCCCGAGCUUAACUUGGGAACUGCAUUUGAAACUGGCAAGCUAGAGUCUUGUAGAGGGGGGUAGAAUUCCAGGUGUAGCGGUGAAAUGCGUAGAGAUCUGGAGGAAUACCGGUGGCGAAGGCGGCCCCCUGGACAAAGACUGACGCUCAGGUGCGAAAGCGUGGGGAGCAAACAGGAUUAGAUACCCGCGUAGUCCCUGUCUCUUAUAC
rnacentral:rRNA from 1 species